rnacentral:rRNA from 1 species
CCUACGGGAGGCAGCAGUGAGGAAUAUUGGUCAAUGGGCGCGAGCCUGAACCAGCCAAGUAGCGUGAAGGAUGAAUGCCCUACGGGUUGUAAACUUCUUUUAUAAAGGAAUAAAGUGAGGUACGUGUGCAUGUUUGUAUGUACAUUAUGAAUAAGCAUCGGCUAACUCCGUGCAGGCAGCGGCGGUAAUACGGAGGAUGCGGGCGUUAUCCGGAUUUAUUGGGGUUAAAGGGUGCGUAGGCGGUUUUUUAAGUUAGUGGUUAAACGUCGGGGCUUCACCUUGAUUUGCCAUUAAUACUGUAAGACUCGAGUUCAGACGAGGUAGGCGGAAUAAGUUAAGUAGCGGUGAAAUGCGUAGAUAUAACUUAGAACUCCGAUAGCGAAGGCAGCUUACCAGACUGCGACUGACGCUGAAGCACGAGAGCGUGGGUAGCGAACAGGAUUAGAUACCCUUGUAGUC